rnacentral:rRNA from 1 species
AUUGAACGCUGGCGGCAGGCUUAACACAUGCAAGUCGAGCGGAGAGAGGUAGCUUGCUACUGAUCUUAGCGGCGGACGGGUGAGUAAUGCUUAGGAAUCUGCCUAUUAGUGGGGGACAACAUUUCGAAAGGAAUGCUAAUACCGCGUACGCCCUACGGGAGAAAGCAGGGGAUUUUCGGACCUUGCGCUAAUAGAUGAGCCUAGGUCGGAUUAGCAAGUUGGUGGGGUAAAGGCCUACCAAGGCGACGAUCUGUAGCGGGUCUGAGAGGAUGAGCAGCCACGCUGGGACUGAGACACGGCCCAGACUCCUACGGGAGGCAGCAGUGGGGAAUAUUGGACAAUGGGCGGAGGCCUGAUCCAGCCAUGCCGCGUGUGUGAAGAAGGCCUUAUGGUUGUAAAGCACUUUAAGCGAGGAGGAGGCUACUUUAGUUAAUACCUAGAGAUAGUGGACGUUACUCGCAGAAUAAGCACCGGCUAACUCUGUGCCAGCCGCCGCAGUAACAC